rnacentral:tRNA from 1 species
GCCUGGAUGGCUCAGUUGGUUAAGCAUCUGACUCUUGAUUUCAGCUCAGGUCACGAUCUCACGGUUCAUGGGUUCAAGCCCCAUGUCAGGCU